rnacentral:RNase_P_RNA from 1 species
GCAGCAAGCUAGGAGAUCGCUCGCCUUAGGCGAGAGGAAAGUCCGAACACCCUCCCGAACCAAAUUAUGGUGAGGGAUAAACUAUUCCGGGUAAUGCCCGGCAGGAGCAAUCCUCGGGGUGCGAACAGUGACGAUGUCCGCCAAUGUGGCGGAAGUGAAACGGCUAAAUCCCUAUAGGGCGCAAGAGUAAACCCAGGAAUCUGCAUUCAUGUAGAGUCUUGGUGAAAAGUAACUCGCUUGAUUCCGCAGAGUAAUCUGCGGAACAGAUAGAUGAUCUCCCACGACAGAAUUCGGCUUAUCGGCUUGCUGCGGCA